CUGCUGCCUUCCGUAGGAGUCUGGGCCGUGUCUCAGUCCCAAUGUGGCCGGCCACCCUCUCAGGUCGGCUACUGAUCGUCGCCUUGGUGGGCCUCUAUCCCGCCAACUAGCUAAUCAGACGCGGAUCCAUCCCAUACCACCGGAGUUUUUCACACUGGAAUAUGCAUUCCUGUGCGCUUAUGCGGUAUUAGCAGCCGUUUCCGGCUGUUAUCCCCCGGUAUGGGGCAGGUUAUCCACGCGUUACUCACCCGUCCG
rnacentral:rRNA from 1 species